UACGUAGGGUGCAAGCGUUGUCCGGAAUCACUGGGCGUAAAGGGCGCGUAGGCGGCCUGAUAAGUAGGGGGUGAAAUCCUGCGGCUUAACCGCAGGGCUGCCUUCUAAACUGUCGGGCUAGAGCACGGUAGAGGCAGAUGGAAUUCCCGGUGUAGCGGUGGAAUGCGUAGAGAUCGGGAAGAACAUCAGUGGCGAAGGCGGUCUGCUGGGCCGUUGCUGACGCUGAGGCGCGACAGCGUGGGGAGCAAACAGG
rnacentral:rRNA from 1 species